rnacentral:rRNA from 1 species
UGCCAGCCGCCGCGGUAAUACGGAGGGUGCAAACGUUGCUCGGAAUCAUUGGGCGUAAAGCGCGCGUAGGCGGCUUGGCAAGUUGGGUGUGAAAGCCCUGGGCUCAACCCAGGAGGUGCACUCAAAACUGCCUCGCUUGAAUCUCGGAGGGGGUCAGGGAAUUCUCGGUGUAGAGGUGAAAUUCGUAGAUAUCGGGAGGAACACCAGUGGCGAAGGCGCUGACCUGGACGAUGAUUGACGCUGAGGCGCGAAAGCAUGGGGAGCGAACAGGAUUAGAUA